GGCAUUACUGCAGAACCAGAUGUGAUGAUUCAAAACAUUACUGAGGACACCGAGUCCAUCAUCUUGGCUAGUGACGGCAUCUGGGAGCGAAUUGGAUAAACCAGGAAAAAGGGGUGGUUGCAUUUGUACUAAAUAGAGAUGGCAAUCAGAUUAAGUUACAAUUAACUUGUGCAAUUCCUAAUGCUCCAGGAUGGCCUCCAUUGUUACACUUGCCUGCACAGUUAUUCUCAGCAUGAUGAUCAAGAUUCCCACAGGUAUCUAUUGAAUUCCUUCAACAGAAUUGGCUCACUGUUUUCUAGAUUCAAGGGCCUUUUCCAGAGUA